rnacentral:rRNA from 1 species
AACGAACGCUGGCGGCGUGCUUAACACAUGCAAGUCGAACGGUAAGGCCCUUCGGGGUACACGAGUGGCGAACGGGUGAGUAACACGUGGGUGAUCUGCCCUGCACUUCGGGAUAAGCCUGGGAAACUGGGUCUAAUACCGGAUAGGACCACUGCCUGCAUGGGUGGUGGUGGAAAGCUUUUGCGGUGUGGGAUGGGCCCGCGGCCUAUCAGCUUGUUGGUGGGGUGAUGGCCUACCAAGGCGACGACGGGUAGCCGGCCUGAGAGGGUGACCGGCCACACUGGGACUGAGAUACGGCCCAGACUCCUACGGGAGGCAGCAGUGGGGAAUAUUGCACAAUGGGCGCAAGCCUGAUGCAGCGACGCCGCGUGAGGGAUGACGGCCUUCGGGUUGUAAACCUCUUUCAGCACCGACGAAGCGCAAGUGACGGUAGGUGCAGAAGAAGGACCGGCCAACUACGUGCCAGCAGCCGCAGUAAUAC